rnacentral:rRNA from 1 species
UACGGAGGAUGCAAGCGUUAUCCGGAAUGAUUGGGCGUAAAGCGUCCGCAGGUGGCUGUGUAAGUCUGCUGUUAAAGAGUGAGGCUCAACCUCAUAAAGGCAGUGGAAACUACAUGGCUAGAGUGCGUUCGGGGCAGAGGGAAUUCCUGGUGUAGCGGUGAAAUGCGUAGAUAUCUGGAGGAAUACCGGUGGCGAAGGCGGCAUCCUGGACCGACAUUGACGCUGAUGAGCGAAAGCUAGGGGAGCAAACGGG